UCCUAGAUCCCAAACACUCAUUCGGCCGAAACCCUCCUCUCCCGAACAUUCCCCAUGCCCUUUCCCCUCCUUAUAGCCGAAACUCCAAUUCGGUCGAGCCUCGCCCCUCUCCAGGAACUCUUCGGCGCCCUAGCUCCGCUCUGUCUCUGCUGGCAUCCGAACUCCCUUUUCCCCUCUCUCGAUCAAAACUCUAGAUUGAUUCUCCUCCCCCAACCCUAGUCGCUCCUCAUCAGGCCGACACUGUCCAUUUCCACUUCAGGUGAUGCCCUAGGAGCAGGUCUGUUCGCGCGCCGCAUAGUUUCUCUUGACCGAGGUUCCUAUUCCUUACUUCUUCCUUCCUGCACAUCUUGCGAGAGGAUCGGCUUGAGAAGUGCGGAAGGGAUCGUAGCUUUGCUUGGCUGCACUGUUUUCUUACCGUUUUGCUACAGAUGACCACAGGUGGUAUUGGUGACCAGCCACCUCAGCGGGUGAAUAUAAGAGUAAGAGCAGCUCCGGGAGAGGCAGUUGCUCUCCCAGACCUCGAGCACUGCUCACAGUAGUGGUACGUCUACCACUGUGCA